UCAGUUCUAUCUUUGACCAUAUGGAACAGUGCAUAGGAAACUGUUCUUAUGUGGGCCCAUUUAAGUGGUAAAGUAAAUGGAAUAUAUUUACAUGUAAAAACCACAAGACAGCACGUUCAUUAGGAACAAAAUAUUUACACGGCAUAUCUUAUUAUAGACUCUGUUUGACACAAAUAUAGAUUCUACAAAUAUAGAAUUGGCACAAUGUUGUGAAAUAAAUAAACAAUAUUUAGCACUGUUUCUAGGUUUUGAAGCACUGACCGUGUGAAAUCCUCUGUAUAUUAAAUCAUUUAUCAUUAGAGCAAAACGUAACAAAUAUUAGGACAUCCGAAAAACCAAACCAAACUUUUAACUCAAAUUAUUAUGAUGAGAAUCAAGUUUAUAAUGACAACAAAAUCCACAACAUUGCAGCAUUGAAAUACACAUCCACGAUUUAUGCAUUUACCAAGCACAAAAUCGUACAAAUGAUAAAAUGUGAUUCAUGUAAUGCGAUCACAUGAAAUUUCCAUAUCCGAGGUAAAA